rnacentral:rRNA from 1 species
AAGAUUUAUUUUUGUUUAUUAUUUUUAUUUUUAGGUGAAAUUAAAAUAUUUAUUAAUCUUUUCUUUUGAUUCUUUGAAAUUUAAAAUUUAAACUAGGAUUAGAUACCCUAUUAUUUUAUAUGUUAAAUUUGACCAGGGUAGUAUUAGAUAUGUUCUUUAAACCUAAAGAAUUUGGCGGUGUUUUAGUCUAUUUAGAGGAAUUUGUUCCGUGAUCGAUAGUCCUCGUUUUAUCUUUCUUAAUUUAUUUAUUUAGUAUGUAUACCGCCGUUAUAAGUUUAUUUUUUAAGAAUUUAAUUUACUUAAAAUUUUAUUUUAUU